GGUCAAGGACUUGGCCCCGAAGCCACAGAUGGACUUAGCAGUGGAUCCCAAGAGCCUUCAACAGCUGAGGCAGAAGAGGCCUGAGGGAGGGGGAGUGUAGCUGGUAGGAAUCUCGUGUUCCAUAAUCGGGCUGCCAGGGCUCUGCAAGGCCCCAAAAUUGUAAGUCAAAGCAUGUGAGAGUAGGUGUCCAUCGUGUGUAUAUUUUCUGCCGGGAGCCACAGCUUACAUCCCAUUCUCAAAGAAUAUGCAGACCCAGAAAGAGGAAGAGCCACAGAACCUAAUCUAAUUCCUUCAUUAUAUGGCUGAUAUGGAAAUUGAGGUUUGGCUCCUUGGACCAAAUGGACUGACUCUAUUUAAUAUAUGACUGAUCACUUCAUCAAGAGCUUUUCCCCUAAACCUUGGUUUUGUUUCUGUGAGUUCAUUUCUCUAAUGUUACAACAUAUUCUGAGAGAAAGAAAGACUCUUUGGAAAGUUACAUUGACUUUUAAAGCCACAAGGGGAUCAUUUGGGACAUUCCUACCUCGGCGGUUAUUACCCCGCAGCGCUACCUCUAGCCUUCUCUUUGGUCUCCACGGGGACCCGUUACGUCUCUAACAAGCAAGUAUGAAGACUUAUAGUGCUGGCUUACCAGAAGGGUUUGCUUCGGGAAUUUCACAAGACAGGACUGCUGCUGUCUUGCACGGAAAUUUACAUCCCACGAAGCAGAAGAGAGAAUGACGAUGGCACAUGAUGGUAAUAGGAUUGCAUCAAUAUUACAUGGCUACUAGGCGGAGAACCCAUAGGUUUUAAUAGCACAGCUCUAUUUAUCCUCCUCUGUUUUCAGGACACUGGUUGGGGGUGAAUGGUAUUUCCUUUUUACAGAUACAGAAACAGAGGAUCAAUAAUUUAUUAAAUGAAUUAUUUAAUAUUUCCUAACAGGGUCUGUGGAUGGGGCUUCCGGGGUCUGUGGACCCCUGACAUGAGCUGCAAAGACAAGUGGACUCCCUUCUGGCCUGAGGGACUCUGGACCUCUGUGACUUCCAUGAGGGGAAGUGCAGAGCCUUUAUAUUGUGUGAAAUGGGAUCACCUUCCCAGGCCUCAGCCUGGAUCCGGCGGUCUCCAUCUACUGCCAACUGAAACCCCACCAGCUCCGGCGUGCUAGUCACCGAAAGCAAUCUUUCCCUCUCUCUUCUGUCACACUUGCCUAUGUGCAGUAAAGCUCUCAACUCUGGACUCCAUCCAUCUUUAUUACUGGACUGUGAACUUCUGGAGGGCACUGGUCUAUUCCUUCCCCUCUUUACUCACUUCACCUCAGGCCUGGUUGAAUAUCCUGCACAUAAGAGGUUCUUAGUAACUGCAUUUGGUCAAGAAAUGGGGGGGGGGGGGGGGUGGGAAAGCCUCUGAUCUCACGGAUGCCCUGCUUACACCUUGAUAGAUUUCAUGAUCAAGCAAACUAAAAAUGGAGACGACGGGUGUCCCCACCAGAGAAGGUCUGAACCACCCUCGGCCUAGAGAAUACAAAGGCAGAGUCCGUCACCUAAGCCCGAAGUCCCUUAAAAUCCCUCCAACCUAGGAACAGGAUUAGUCCCGGGGACUGGGCAUAGCAGGAAGUCUUGUCACCCCAGCUAUGAGGAAAGAACUGUCAGGGCCCAGAGCCAGACGGAUCAUUGCAUAAUCCUUCUUGAUUUCAGUUCAGCUUUCCAUAGGGCCAAUGACACGGUGUGGACAUUUGACUCCAAAGGGUAUGUUGUCAACUGUGGACACCUGUCAGCGUCACUGCUCAGAGGGUCGGGACUGUGUCUUAUUCUUCGUUGUAUUUCUGUUUGUUUAGAACUUGCUUUAAAAGCAUUUUAAUUGGAAAUGGGAAACGUGCACAUGAUUUACAUAUUAAAAUGAUUCCCCAGGGUCCAAGCAGACUCCUUAGCUCAUCAUCGCCCAGCCCAGAGGCAGCCAUCAUUCAGAGUUUCUUUUCCCCGAGAUGCCAUGUAUUAUACAAUAUUUUUGUAUUUUCUAUGAGGAACUAAUAAGGUUGUUGUGAACACCCUCCAUGCCUUUUGCAGGCGAUGGUGAUGGUGUUAGGGUUGUUGGUGAUCUGGAAAAGAGGUUUUAGGGUUCACUGACCUUGAGAACUGGAGAACUUGUCUUGUACAUUAUGAUGAUGCAUAGCAAUAAUGGUGUAAUAAUAAAAUCUGGAUACCUCAAAUGCUAUCUUGAAAAAGGCAGGUCUGGUCCAAGGGUAGUGGAGAAAGGAUCCAAGGAGAUGUGGUUGGACACAGAUUGGAUAUGGGUAGGAAAUGUUAGGCCAUUUUAGCAAGUACCACUGUGCUCUAGGGGGAUCAUAAGUAGACCCGAUGGAGAUCAGCAAAGUAUUUAUU